CAAGCAUUAUCUCUGCAAAACAUCUUAUUCAUUCGUUCAGCAAACGUUUCUUGAACUCUCAGAAGGAUGAAGGAAGUUUACCCAGCUACCUAUCAGCCUCCUGUGUCUUAAGCAGAGUGGAGACGGGGGUGGAUCCAGGCGCACCAGUUCCACGCCACAGGCUUCUGCAGUUCCUGCAAACUGUUCCCAUCCCGCCCCGCGUUGCACGUCGGGAUUUGGAGUUCGCGAUGCUGAGAGCUGUUUCCACGUGGCGAUUCCGACUUGACCCGUCGUGCUCCGGCGCCCGCCUAGGGGGACCGAGGAGUUUGUCAUUUCUUGCCUCGUUAGGGUGCGGAACGAAAACCAUUUGAUUUAUCCUAGAAAAGGAAAGGCUGAAGCCAACUAAGUAAAAGUUUUCCAUUAAAUGAAUGCACGUUGUAGAAAAGGAAUGUUCAACUGCCCUACAAAUCCAGAGGUAGAAAUGGGGGAGGGGAGAAGGAAUUAAAUAGGACACACACACACACACACAAACACACACACACACACACUCUUGGGGGGGUGUUUGGGUAUGGAAAGUAGGUCCGAUUGCAGAAUUUAUUUUAAAUGAUUCCCGCAACCUUGGGAAGUUGGGAAGUGGUGAAUCCGCUGCCGAAAGGCAUUUGUGCUUAUGGUAAAUCCAGGUCUUAAAAUUCUGUAGACUGGUAGCUAUAUGGAUAUGAUUUUAAUAGACGAGUUUCAGGAAGACUCUCUCAAACUGUUUUUUGUUGUUGUUGUUUAAAAACUUACUUGAAAUAUAUUGGAAACCACAUAUACAUAAUCUCUCACACACACUACAUAAAGAAGUAAAAAUUCCUUUCCCUACUUCUUUCAUCCUAUCCAAUUUGUAGAGUCAUAACCAUUCUUAAUAAUUUGAUGGGUAUUCAUUUCUUCCCUAAAUUUAUAUGUCUAGAACUAGAGCUAGAGUGUAUGCCUACAUACACACACACACACACCCAUACAUAUAUAUUCAAACAUAAUAUAUGUAUAUCCACAUGUAUUCAAACACAGAAUUAUGUUUAGAUAAUUAUGGUUAUAUGCUGGUAUGCCAGAGCCAGACUGCCUGGCUUCGGUUCCAGGCCCUAGUUGGAUAGCUUUGGGCUACUCAGCCUCUUUAUGCCUGGACUUCUUCAUCUUUGAAAUGGGAUAAUAAUAAUACUUAUCCCAUAAAGUUAUUGUGAGAAUUAAAUGAAAUAAUAUAUGAAAAGCCCUUAGAACAGGCAUUGACACAUUGUGAAGGUAAUGUAUUAGCUAUUUUGAUGAUUAUGCAUUUUGUCUGCAACUUGAUUUUUAUUUAACAUAUGUGGGAAAGUAGACAAACAUAGCCAUUUUCAAUGAUUCCAUAAUAUUCCAUAGCACGAGUAUACCAUUGUUUAUCGAACCAUUUCUCUCUUGAGAAACAUUGCAGAUUUUUUUUGCAGUUUCUACGAUUACAAAUAAUGCUGCAAUAAACAUCUUUCUACAUAUA
rnacentral:lncRNA from 1 species